rnacentral:rRNA from 1 species
AACGUACGCUGGCGGCACGCCUAACACAUGCAAGUCGAACGAAGUAGCAAUACUUAGUGGCAGACGGGUGAGUAACAUGUAGGUAUCUGCCCUUUGGCCUGGAAUAACACGAGGAAACUUGUGCUAAUACCGGAUAAGUCUUUACGGAGAAAGCUUUAUGCACCAUUGGAUGAGCCUGCACUUGAUUAGUUUGUUGAUGGGGUAAUGGCCUACCAAGACUGUGAUCAAUAGCUGAUUUGAGAGGAUGAUCAGCCACAUUGGGACUGAGACACGGCCCAAACUCCUACGGGAGGCAGCAGUGGGGAAUCUUGCACAAUGGAGGAAACUCUGAUGCAGCGAUGCCGCGUGAGUGAAGAAGGCCCUUGGGUUGUAAAGCUCUUUCGUCGGGGAAGAAAAUGACUGUACCCGAAUAAGAAGGUCCGGCUAACUUCGUGCCAGCAGCCGCGGUAAUACGAAGGGACCUAGCGUAGUUCGGAAUUACUGGGCUUAAAGAGUUCGUAGGUGGUUGAAAAAGUUAGUGGUGAAAUCCCAGAGCUUAACUCUGGAACUGCCAUUAAAACUUUUCAGCUAGAGUAUGAUAGAGGAAAGCAGAAUUUCUAGUGUAGAGGUGAAAUUCGUAGAUAUUAGAAAGAAUACCAAUUGCGAAGGCAGCUUUCUGGAUCAUUACUGACACUGAGGAACGAAAGCAUGGGUAGCGAAGAGGAUUAGAUACCCUCGUAGUCCAUGCCGUAAACGAUGUGUGUUAGACGUUGGAAAUUUAUUUUCAGUGUCGCAGGGAAACCGAUAAACACACCGCCUGGGGAGUACGACCGCAAGGUUAAAACUCAAAUGAAUUGACGGGGACCCGCACAAGUAGUGGAGCAUGUGGUUUAAUUCGAAGAUACGCGCAGAACCUUACCAACACUUGACAUGUUCGUCGCGACUCUAAGAGAUUAGAGUUUUCGGUUCGGCCGGACGAAACACAGGUGCUGCAUGGCUGUCGUCAGCUCGUGUCGUGAGAUGUUGGGUUAAGUCCCGCAACGAGCGCAACCCUCACUUUUAGUUGCCAUCAUUAAGUUGGGCACUCUGAAAGAACUGCCAGUGAUAAGCUGGAGGAAGGUGGGGAUGACGUCAAGUCCUCAUGGCCCUUACGUGUUGGGCUACACACGUGCUACAAUGGUAUCUACAACAGGAAGCAAGACUGCGAAGUUAAGCAAAUCCCUAAAAGAUACCUCAGUUCGGAUUGCACUCUGCAACUCGAGUGCAUGAAGCUGGAAUUACUAGUAAUCGUGGAUCAGCGUGCCACGGUGAAUGCGUUCCCGGGUCU